AUUGAACGCUGGCGGCAUGCCUUACACAUGCAAGUCGAACGGCAGCACGGGUGCUUGCCCCUGGUGGCGAGUGGCGAACGGGUGAGUAAUACAUCGGAACAUGUCCUGUAGUGGGGAAUAGCCCGGCGAAAGCCGGAUUAAUACCGCAUACGAUCUACGGAUGAAAGCGGGGGACCUUCGGGCCUCGCGCUAUCGGGUUGGCCGAUGGCUGAUUAGCUAGUUGGUGGGGUAAAGGCCUACCAAGGCGACGAUCAGUAGCUGGUCUGAGAGGACGACCAGCCACACUGGGACUGAGACACGGCCCAGACUCCUACGGGAGGCAGCAGUGGGGAAUUUUGGACAAUGGGCGAAAGCCUGAUCCAGCAAUGCCGCGUGUGUGAAGAAGGCCUUCGGGUUGUAAAGCACUUUUGUCCGGAAAGAAAUCCUUGGCCCUAAUACGGUCGGGGGAUGACGGUACCGGAAGAAUAAGCACCGGCUAACUACGUG
rnacentral:rRNA from 1 species